rnacentral:ncRNA from 2 species
ACAGGUGAACGCGGGAGUCCGGCGAACCGGGCUGAGAGUGGGCCGAGACCAUCAGGGCCCUUACCGUUGAACCUGAUCCGGGUCAUGCCGGCGAUAGGGAGGACAACAUGACCGGUG